CUACGGGAGGCAGCAGUAAGGAAUAUUGGUCAAUGGACGAAAGUCUGAACCAGCUAUGCCGCGUGGAGGAUGAAGGCCCUCUGGGUUGUAAACUUCUUUUAUAUGGGACGAAAAAGGGCCUUUCUAGGUCAACUGACGGUACCAUGUGAAUAAGCACCGG
rnacentral:rRNA from 1 species